rnacentral:rRNA from 1 species
GACGAACGCUGGCGGCGUGCUUAAUACAUGCAAGUCGAGCGGGGUUACUGCGACAGAUCCCUUCGGGGUGACGUUGCUUUAACCUAGCGGCGGACGGGUGAGUAACGCGUGGGUAACCUACCCUAAAGCUCGGGAUAACAGUGGGAAACCGCUGCUAAUACCGGAUGACUUUAACCUAUGGCAUCAUGGGUUAAAGGAAGAUUUAUCGCUUUAGGAUGGGCCCGCGUCCCAUUAGCUAGUUGGUGAGGUAACGGCUCACCAAGGCGACGAUGGGUAGCCGGCCUGAGAGGGUGUACGGCCACACUGGGACUGAGACACGGCCCAGACUCCUACGGGAGGCAGCAGUAGGGAAUAUUGCGCAAUGGACGGAAGUCUGACGCAGCGACGCCGCGUGAGCGAUGAAGGCCUUCGGGUCGUAAAGCUCUGUCCUUGGGGAAGAAGGUCUUCGGACUUGACGGUACCCAAGAAGAAAGCCCCGGCUAACUACGUGCCAGCAGCCGCGGUAAUACGCAGGGGGCGAGCGUUGUCCGGAAUUACUGGGCGUAAAGGGUGCGUAGGCGGCCCUUUAAGUCAGAUGUGAAAGGCCACGGCUUAACCGUGGGAUUGCAUUUGAAACUGGAGGGCUUGAGUGUCGGAGAGGGUAGUGGAAUUCCCAGUGUAGCGGUGAAAUGCGUAGAUUUUGGGAGGAACACCAGUGGCGAAGGCGACUACCUGGACGAUAACUGACGCUGAGGCACGAAAGCUAGGGGAGCAAACAGG